CCCUUAGAUGUUCUGGGCCGCACGCGCGCUACACUGUUCGACGCAGCGAGUCUUAACCUUGACCGAAAGGUUUGGGUAAUCUUCAGCAAAGUCGAACGUGAUGGGGAUCGAUCAUUGCAAUUAUUGAUCGUGAACGAGGAAUUCCUAGUAAGUGCAAGUCAUCAGCUUGCGCUGAUUACGUCCCUGCCCUUUGUACACACCGCCCGUCGCUACUACCGAUUGAAUGGUUUAGUGAGAUCUCUGGAUUGACGCUGGCUAGGGGGCGACCCUUGGCCAGGCUGUCGAGAAACUGCUCAAACUUGAUCAUUUAGAGGAAGUAAAGGUCGUAACA
rnacentral:rRNA from 1 species